CCUACGGGCGGCAGCAGUGAGGAAUAUUGGUCAAUGGUCGUGAGACUGAACCAGCCAAGUCGCGUGAGGGAUGAAGGUUCUAUGGAUCGUAAACCUCUUUUGUAAGGGAAUAAAGUCUGGGACGUGUCCUAUUUUGUAUGUACCUUAUGAAUAAGCAUCGGCUAACUCCGUGCCAGCAGCCGCGGUAAUACGGAGGAUCCGAGCGUUAUCCGGAUUUAUUGGGUUUAAAGGGUGCGUAGGCGGCCUUUUAAGUCAGCGGUGAAAGGCUGGGGCUCAACCAUGGAAUUGCCGUUGAAACUGGGGGUCUGGAGUAGGGUGGAGGUAUGCGGAAUGCGGGGUGUAGCGGGGAAAUGCUUAGAUAUCACGCAGAACUCCGAUUGUGAAGGCAGCCUGCCAAGCCCUGACUGACGCUGAGGCACGAAAGCGUGGGGAUCAAACAGGAUUAGAUACCCGAGUAGUC
rnacentral:rRNA from 1 species